rnacentral:rRNA from 1 species
GAAACUUGGAUUAAUGCCCCAUGGUACCACGACAUCGCAUGAUGAUGUGGUUAAAGAUUUAUCGGACAGGGAUGGCCAUGCGUACCAUUAGUUAGUUGGUGGGGUAACGGCCCACCAAGGCAGCGAUGGUUAGGGGCCCUGAGAGGGGGAUCCCCCACACUGGUACUGAGACACGGACCAGACUCCUACGGGAGGCAGCAGUGAGGAAUAUUGGACAAUGGGCGGGAGCCUGAUCCAGCCAUGCCGCGUGCAGGAUGACGGCCCUAUGGGUUGUAAACUGCUUUUAUACGGGAAGAAAUGCGCCCACGUGUGGGCGUCUGACGGUACCGUAAGAAUAAGGACCGGCUAACUCCGUGCCAGCAGCCGCGGUAAUACGGAGGGUCCGAGCGUUAUCCGGAAUCAUUGGGUUUAAAGGGUCCGUAGGCGGGCCUGUAAGUCAGGGGUGAAAGUUUGUGGCUCAACCAUAAAAUUGCCUUUGAUACUGCAGGUCUUGAGUCAUGGUGGGGUCGCCGGAACAUGUGGUGUAGCGGUGAAAUGCAUAGAUAUCACAUAGAACACCGAUCGCGAAGGCAGGUGGCCAACCAUGUACUGACGCUGAUGGACGAAAGCGUGGGUAGCGAACGGGAUUAGAUACCCCGGUAGUCCACGCCGUAAACGAUGGAUACUAGCUGUGGGGACUUCGGUCUCCGUGGCCAAGCGAAAGUGAUAAGUAUCCCACCUGGGGAGUACGUUCGCAAGAAUGAAACUCAAAGGAA